GAUGAACGCUGACAGAAUGCUUAACACAUGCAAGUCCACUUGAACUUCGGUUUGGGUGGCGGACGGGUGAGUAACGCGUACAGAACUUGCCUCACAGAUAGGGACAACAUUUGGAAACGAAUGCUAAUACCUGAUAUUAUGAUUAUAUGGCAUCGUAUAAUUAUGAAAGCUAUAUGCGCUGUGAGAGAGCUUUGCGUCCCAUUAGCUAGUUGGAGAGGUAACGGCUCACCAAGGCGAUGAUGGGUAGCCGGCCUGAGAGGGUGAUCGGCCACAAGGGGACUGAGACACGGCCCUUACUCCUACGGGAGGCAGCAGUGGGGAAUAUUGGACAAUGGACCAAGAGUCUGAUCCAGCAAUUCUGUGUGCACGAUGAAGUUUUUCGGAAUGUAAAGUGCUUUCAGUUGGGAAGAAAAAAAUGACGAUACCAACAGAAGAAGUGGCGGCUAAAUACGUG
rnacentral:rRNA from 1 species